CGGGAUGUAGCACAGCCAGGUAGUGCACUCGUUUAGGGUGCGAGGGGUCGCUGGUUCAAAUCCAGUCAUCCCGACAA
rnacentral:tRNA from 1 species